rnacentral:rRNA from 1 species
AGUGAACGCUGGCGGUAGGCCUAACACAUGCAAGUCGAACGGCAGCACAGUAAGAGCUUGCUCUUACGGGUGGCGAGUGGCGGACGGGCGAGGAAUACAUCGGAAUCUACUUUUUCGUGGGGGAUAACGUAGGGAAACUUACGCUAAUACCGCAUACGACCUACGGGUGAAAGCAGGGGAUCUUCGGACCUUGCGCGAUUGAAUGAGCCGAUGUCGGAUUAGCUAGUUGGCGGGGUAAAGGCCCACCAAGGCGACGAUCCGUAGCUGGCCUGAGAGGAUGAUCAGCCACACUGGAACUGAGACACGGUCCAGACUCCUACGGGAGGCAGCAGUGGGGAAUAUUGGACAAUGGGCGCAAGCCUGAUCCAGCCAUACCGCGUGGGUGAAGAAGGCCUUCGGGUUGUAAAGCCCUUUUGUUGGGAAAGAAAAGCAGCAGGUUAAUACCCCGCUGUUCUGACGGUACCCAAAGAAUAAGCACCGGCUAACUUCGUG